rnacentral:lncRNA from 1 species
UAGUGGAUGGACACAAACGGUUUUGAAUCCUUGCUGUGCCCCCUGUCCCUGUGCCUUGUUGGCAGCUGGCACUGGAAUGGCUGCUCCUGGCAUGGACGUACCUGGAUUGUUCACCACCCUCCUUGUCCUGCUUUUAUGGCACUCAGGGCAGGUGAAAUGGCCGCAACUCCUAAUUUUUUAUUGUUAUUUCUAUUGUUAUUUAGGCCAGCUUUGAUUUUUUUGUUAAAGAAAGCCUCUCGUAGGCAAUGUUUGGAAGAUGAAGGAACAUGCUUUGGAGGAAAAUCAAGUCAGGAAGAGCCCAAAUCGUUCCCAGCAGGUAGAGUGAUCUCUGCAGAGAUGUUCCAGAGUUUUCCAACUGGACUGAGGCAUGCUGGGCAUUGAAAAAUAUGAUUUCUUCCACCUGAGCUAUUGAACAGACGUGAUAAAAACACCAACUGCAGCACAAUGUCCUUUAUGUUGCCUCGAAGGAAUGUGCCAUUAAAAUGAUGUUAGAAAUAUUCUUCAAAAGCAGCUAAAAAAUCUGCACUUGGGGCUGCAAUGCCAUCCACAAGUUUUCCAUUGCUCCUGUCUCCUGAUGUUCAAUUCAUCCUGCAAAGCAAAUCCUGGCUGGUGUAUGUCCUCAUUAGGAUGCAGGAUGAAGAGAAAUGCAUCAAAAUGCAUAAACACACCUUAGAAAUGCCUCUGAAAGUGUCUGGAAAUCACUUUGUCCUGCAGCACUGGCAAGUGUCCACCAUCUCCUUGAUAUUUAUGGUUGAAAUGACAUGGAGGAGGCUCAAGGUGAUCCAUUUAUGCCCAUCUUCAAGGAAUUUGCACCCACUCCUUUGAAGGGAUGCCACACCUUGAUCUUGGCACCACUAAUGCCAUUAAAAUACUGUGAAAAGGAAAUACACAAAAGCAGAAAAUUGGGGAAUUUUAAAAGGAGCCAUAGAGAGAAUUUAUCCAAUAAAAACUCAAGGAAAGGUCA